rnacentral:rRNA from 1 species
UACGUAGGGGCCGAGCGUUGUCCGGAGUUACUGGGCGUAAAGCGCGCGCAGGCGGCUCGUCAAGCCUGGCGUGAAAGCCCCCGGCUCAACCGGGGAGGGUCGUCGGGGACUGGCGAGCUUGAGGUCGGCAGGGGCUGGUGGAAUUCCCGGUGUAGUGGUGAAAUGCGAUAGAGAUCGGGAGGAACACCCGUGGCGAAGGCGGCCAGCUGGGCCGUACCUGACGCUGAGGCGCGAAGGCGUGGGGAGCGAACGGG